rnacentral:rRNA from 1 species
GCGGAGGAAAAGAAACCAACAGGGAUUGCCCUAGUAACGGCGAGUGAAGCGGCAACAGCUCAAAUUUGAAAUCUGGCUCUUUCAGGGUCCGAGUUGUAAUUUGCAGAGGGCGCUUUGGCAUUGGCAGCGGUCCAAGUUCUUUGGAACAGGACGUCACAGAGGGUGAGAAUCCCGUACGUGGUCGCUAGCCUUUGCCGUGUAAAGCCCCUUCGACGAGUCGAGUUGUUUGGGAAUGCAGCUCUAAAUGGGAGGUAAAUUUCUUCUAAAGCUAAAUACUGGCCAGAGACCGAUAGCGCACAAGUAGAGUGAUCGAAAGAUGAAAAGCACUUUGGAAAGAGAGUCAAAUAGCACGUGAAAUUGUUGAAAGGGAAGCGCUUGCAGCCAGACUUGCCUGUAGUUGCUUAUCUGGACUUUUGUCCGGUGCACUCUUCUGCGGGCAGGCCAGCAUCAGUUUGGGCGGUUGGAUAAAGGUCUCUGUCAUGUACCUCUCUUCGGGGAGGCCUUAUAGGGGAGACGACAUGCAACCAGCCUGGACUGAGGUCCGCGCAUUUGCUAGGAUGCUGGCGUAAUGGCUGUAAGCGGCCCGUCUUGAAACACGGACCAAGGAGUCUAACAUCUAUGCGAGUGUUUGGGUGUCAAGCCCAGACGCGUAAUGAAAGUGAACGGAGGUGGGAACCCUUUGGGUGCACCAUCGACCGAUCCUGAUGUCUUCGGAUGGAUUUGAGUAAGAGCAUGGCUGUUGGGACCCGAAAGAUGGUGAACUAUGCUUGAAUAGGGUGAAGCCAGAGGAAACUCUGGUGGAGGCUCGCAGCGGUUCUGACGUGCAAAUCGAUCGUCAAAUUUGGGCAUAGGGGCGAAAGACUAAUCGAACUAUCUAGUAGCUGGU